GGAGGAAAAGAAACCAACAGGGAUUGCCUCAGUAACGGCGAGUCAAGCGGCAAGAGCUCAAAUUUGAAAUCUGGAGCCUUCGGCUUCCGAGUUGUAAUUUGAAGAGGAUGUUUCGGUUGCGGCCUGGGCCUAAGUUCCUUGGAACAGGACGUCAUGGAGGGUGAGAAUCCCGUACAUGGCUGCAGGCUUGCUUCCAUGUGAAGCUCCUUCGAAGAGUCGAGUUGUUUGGGAAUGCAGCUCAAAAUGGGUGGUAAAUUUCAUCUAAAGCUAAAUAUUGGCGGGAGACCGAUAGCGCACAAGUAGAGUGAUCGAAAGAUGAAAAGCACUUUGAAAAGAGAGUUAAACAGUACGUGAAAUUGUUGAAAGGGAAGCGCUUGCAAUCAGACUCGCUUUCGGUUGAUCAACGUUCCUUUUGGUUCGUGCACUCUGCCGUUGGCGGGCCAGCAUCAGUUGAGGCGGUGGGACAAAGGUAGCGGGAAUGUGGCUCCCUCGCGGGAGUGUUAUAGCCCGUUGCGCCAUGCCGCCAGCUUCGACUGAGGUCCGCGAUUUAUCUAGGAUGCUGGCUUAAUGGUUGUAAGCGACCCGUCUUGAAACACGGACCAAGGAGUCUAACAUCUAUGCGAGUCUUUGGGUGUCAAACCCAUGGGCGGAAUGAAAGUGAACGGAGGUGGGAGUCCUCGGAUGCACCAUCGACCGAUCCUGAUGUCUUCGGAUGGAUUUGAGUAUGAGCAUAGCUGUUGGGACCCGAAAGAUGGUGAACUAUGCCUGAAUAGGGUGAAGCCAGAGGAAACUCUGGUGGAGGCUCGCAGCGGUUCUGACGUGCAAAUCGAUCGUCAAAUUUGGGUAUAGGGGCGAAAGACUAAUCGAACCAUCUAGUAGCUGGUUCCUGCCGAAG
rnacentral:rRNA from 1 species